CUGUCGUCCAGAUCGAUGUCGAUUGGAUAGGGACAUCCAUUCUCCGCAUUCCGGACAGAUCGUCCCCACCAUGAAAGGCGAUCGAUGUUUAACGAACAUCCAAGGUCAAAACGAUUUAACCUUGUCAAGGGCCUAUGGAUGGCGUGUUUGGUGCUGCUAUAAAUCAACCGGAAUGCUGGAAUGCUGCGGAUUGAGUGGGAGAUAUCAAAGUGUAUACUAGUAUAGAAUUUUGUCCGACAGAUGCCAAGGGGAGACUGGGUUUUUGGUGUAAGCCGGGUAAAAUGAGUUUUGAACAAAUGAUUUUCUUCACAAUUGAUUUAAUUCGCCCUACAGUUGGGAAUGUCACAGCCUGCUCCAACGGGCGUAUAGUUUCAUUUCCUAAGCUAAACACCCAGUCUCUCCUAUGCAUCAGUCCCAGAGAAUUUUAAUACAGUUUGAAAAUAAUCGG